AAACUUCAAAAACCCUCGUGUGGUUUCAUAGUUUCUCAUUUUGCCCCCCUGUAAUUUAAAAUAUAUCAAUUUGUCCUUCUGUGAUUUCAUUUUUCUCUUUUUCUUAUCAAUUUUAUUUUAUUUUUUCUUAAAUCAGUGAUAAAGUUAAAAUUAACGGGUACGAAAGUGAAUAUUUGAUAAAUCUAGAUGGAUAUCUGAAAUUUUUUGUAUAUAAUUUAAUAAAAUAUUAACGAAAAAGCUACCGAAAAGAUAAAAACGAAACCACAGGGGAGCAAAUUAAUACACUUUAAACCACAGGAGGUAAAGUGAGAAACUACCAUAGGGGGGGUUUUUGAAGUUUU
rnacentral:lncRNA from 1 species